CAGGCAGGGUCGCUUGCUGGCCGGUGGUAAGGAGAGGAGAUGAUGGGGCGGCUGUUCUCUGCGUCCUUCCGCCAUGGCGAGCCGAUCAACACUGACGAGACGGACAGUGUGCGGACACCGAGCAGCAGCAGGAAGCCGAAAAUGUUGACAAGUGUUCUGGAUGCUAAAGAUUUAGAAGACCAGGUUUUGGAGAUGACAUGCAGUAUGAAAAGUAAACAACAAGAUGCAGAAACUACAGUAUAGCUGCCAUUAUGUCAUGUUAUUAGUUUGUUGAAGUCAUCUGGGAUUAGUGAGUCUUUUAUUUUAUAAACCAAAUCUCUUAA